CAGAGGAAAAUUGUGCAAAUUAGAUGUAAAGAAUAUUACAAGGCUUCUGUGAAAUUGCUACGGACAGGGGCAUUUCUAGGUUUUAUAAAACAUAAGCGGCUGAGCACAAAACAUUAGGGUCUGGGGGUGGGUGAUAAGAUAACAUGAUUUGCAAGAGCAAUUUUUUGCAAUAUUGUUUAUUGGUAAACACAAAGUAAUACAAAUUAAUCAUAUGUAACUUUAUUUACAACUCUCAAUUCUCUUCAUUCAGUUUUGCCUCAUGUUUCUUAUCUAUCCUGUUACUAAUAAAAACUGCUGCUGAGGUCUAUAAACUGAUUAUGUUUGUUAUGACUGUUACAGCUAGUGGUUAAACAUUUUAUUUAGACCAAAUAGCACUAAUAAUCCUCCUCCUGUUGGAUUUUAAAUGUCAUUGAUCGAUUUUGAACUUAAAUACUGCUUUUUAUAAAACAAAGUAAUUUGCUUCUUAUGCCUUAGUGCUUUAUCUUCUGUAAGUGCAGAAAAUGUAUGUCUUUUAUUUUGUAUUGUUUUUGUAUGUAUCACGCACAGGUAGGUGUAGGUAUUUACGUAAUAGUGUUUCCUGUUUUUUGAAAGUAGUGCUUAGAGAGGGGGUGAGUGAGUGGGAACGCUCACUUUCUGUUGACCGUUUUAAUCAUUCUCAACGUGUCUACAGUUUCAAGUGUUUUCUCUGAUGGACUUUAUUCAACACAACAUCAAUAAAUGUGCAUGGUUUUAAAUGCAUGGAAACGAAACGCGUCACAGAGUUUGUCCUGCUGCUUAGCCUCUCAGCGGCUAAAGGUUGCCGCUAUAUCUUCUUUUUAGAGCUGGGUAAUAUCUUACAGAUUUAAAUCUAGCUAUAUUGUAUUUAGGGGUUGCAUGGCUUGACGCUUACUUUUUUCCCAAGGAGCACACGUGCUCGUAAGUUGAAAAAUUUAAGAAGGCAUUAAAAACUUUAGGGGUGCAAUACAAAUUUUUCAAAUGUGUUUUAGCUUAAUGAGGGGGAGAGAGACAUUAUAAGGAGAAUACAAAAAGUAUGGUUUUUAAAUAUUUCUGCUUCAAACUGUUUUUAAUUAUUUAUAUUAUUUAUAGUCCUACUUUAAACUGUAUAUAUAGGCAUGUGGUAUCAAAUUUUUAUUUAACCAUAAUUGCUGAAGCUUUUAUCAUGGAAGCCUAUAUGGUAUCACAUAUUGAAUUAGGUUAGAAUAAAGUGUUGUCUUCCAAACAGGUUUAAUAACUUUUUUCUUACAACAAAAAGAAUUCUGAAUAUUUAAAUAUAUACAAUAAAACAAUACACACACAAAAAAAAUGAUAAAGCAAACAAAUCUAGAGUAAUUAUUUAAUUUAUAACAGUAACAAGUGUUUGUCUAUUAACAGAACUUAGUGUACUCACAUACUAUUCUUAUAAAAAAUAAAUAAAUAAAUAAACAAACUGAAUUACUGGAUAUUAUUCCAAAGACCACAGAAACAAAGCUUCAUACACGCAAAAAUAAAUAAAUAAAUAAAAUUAAAUCCAUGCAUUUCAUAUAGGCUAAUCGUUCUAACAAAUGAUACUACAUUCCUUGAAGGGAUUAUAUGAUUACAGACGGCGGAUCUAUAGUGAUCGCUACUGCCUGUAUGCGUUACAUUUGUCUUUAUAGAACGAGUGUAGCCAAAUGUCUGUCGCCAGAACUAUGAGUCCAUUAUGAAGACUAAUCAUGGUUUUACUACAGUAAAGAACCAUGUUUACACAGAACCAUGUUUAGCAUGCCUGUAGCCAAAUGAACAUGUUGGUAAACACUACAAGUGUUAAAGAAUAAUCUACAAUGAUCACAUAAACCCCAACAAACACCAACAUUCGAAGUUCACUGGUGGGUUUAAAGAUGUUUGUCGUAUAAAUUUGAAUUAGCAAUUAGGAACUGGCUAGCAGAGCCAAACAGCGUUGCCCUUUGUUUAUGUCUUUGCUACAACAUAAAAAUAACUAUUAUAGAAAACACAUCACCAAAGAAUAAAACAUACUUGCAGGUUGUGGUAACAUGGCCACACGCCGGGUAAAAGUUUUUCCGGUAACAAUGAUAGAUAGCCGAGCGUAAGAACCAGUCCGGGAAUUAAGUCUUUUUACGAAUUAAAAUGUCAUGAAAAUGCUUGAACGGUCUUGGUGAUUUAUUGGUGAGACUACAGAGCUCUAAUAAAGAGCUAAAUUUAAGAACUAAUUUGAAGUGAAUUGGGAUGCAUUGGGAUGCAGGGAGUGUUUUACAUGAAGUGCUGGGGAAAUAAUCGGCUGGCAGCUCCUUAUCACGCAGACAUGAUCCUCUGAUUCAUAAUGAGAAGCAAGAUGCUCCUGGGAUGUUUCUAGACCUCUGCCAUAUCUCAAUGAUAUUUCAAUUCACUCACAUUUUCCUGUCGUCAUCAUCUUAAAGUCUGUAAAAUGCACAGUAGGGGAGAGUGGGGUAAGAUGAGCCAGUGGGUAAGUUGACCCACCCCCUGUAUCUUGGCAACCGUACCAUUUUAUUGUCAUAUGAACAUAUAUUUUAGAACCAUCCAUCAUUUCUGCCAGACUGUGAAAAGGAGAAACACAUGGGAGGAGUGGAAGUCACUUAUUUACUUUAAAAACUGUUUUUGGCUUGUCAAAGUAAAAUUUUAACAUAACAGAUGUAAUGGCUGUUUCAAAAAAAAAAAAAAAGCAAAUUUGUCCAGGUCUAAAAAUAUUUAUGAUGCAUAUUGGUGAUUUAGCAACGUAUAAAACCAUGCAAGUCAUUUAGCUAAAUAUUAUUCUGAAUUGGUAAUCUAGGUAGCUUUUCCUAAAAUGGCAGCUAUGAGGCAAAGUGAGCCAAAUGAUGUGGGGUAUAUUGAGCCAGCAUUUUAACUUACCCCACCAUAAGGCAGUAAAUUUUAGUUAAAUCUGAACUAUAAACUGGUGUAAUUUCAAUGUAAUAUUACGCAACUGGUUUAGUUUAUCUUUAUUUUCGAGUUUAUUUGAUAGGAACAGUGUACAAGUACACCAAAUCCUUCUCUGAUACGAACCAGAGGAUGUUUAAUCAUUUAUAUCUUUCCACCUGUAGUCUCUAAUGGCCUAACAUGGUCGACAUUGCAGAAAAACUACCAUGUCAAGAACCUUUUGACUAAAAUGUUUAUUAGUUUCAGUGACAUUUAUUCAUUCUUAUUUAGUUUUUAUUUAAUUUUACUCAACAAACUCUGUUUAGUCUGUUUAUGGGAAGGUUACAACUUUGAUGUUCAACAUACUGUUUCAGAAAUGCAAACAAUUAAAGAUACUGAAAUUUCAACUUCAUUUGGCUGGUUUUAUGCUGUUUAAUUUAGCUUUAAAAAAAUAAAUAUUUGUAAAAUAUUUUUACAAAGAAUAUUUGUCAAAGGAAAUUUGAUUAUUAAAUUAGUUAUUAAAAUAGUUACAUUAUCUUUAAAAUUUCACAUAGGUUUGAUUCAGAUUCAGUUAGAUGGUCAGUUUACACCCACCUACUGACUCGGAUCAACUUACCCCUAACCUGGGGUAAAUUGAGCCAGAGGAGUACUUUUUUAUAAGAAGCCAUAUUUUUAGAACCCUUUGUCACAUAUGUAUUCUGAUCAUUUAAAAUGAUAGGAAACAUCCUGAAAUUACUUUAAAUACUUUCAUUGUACUUCUGCCUCAUUUUCCCUUAUCUUGAGGACCACAUAAGUAAAAAAAAAAAAAAAAAAAAAAAAAAAAAAAAAAAAGAAAGGCUCAUCUUACCCCACUCUCCCCUAUUACAAACCCAUAGUAGUAUUGUUGCUGUUGCACCAUUAAUGCAAAGACUAAUAAUCGUGUACAGUGUGGUCUUGGAAAUUAAUUGUCUUAGUUUAAUCAUUUUAAUCGGUCAGGAUUAGUUAACAUAUGCUUGAAUGUAGGAUGUAAUGCCAUGAGAUUAAUACAUGCUAUAUAUUUUUAAAACUUAUUAAACUCACGACAAUAUUAUGUAUCUCUCACGACUUUAUAUCCCGCAUUGAAGCAUGUAUUGGGAGUUUAGUUUUUUUUUUUUUUAAUGAAUAAAUUAUAUAACUAAUGUUCGUCGUGUGGUGAUACGAGCAGGGGAAUUUCUGAAUGAGUAGCUGCGUACCCUGUACUGUAUGACAGCUCGUGAAAUAAAACCACCCCCCGGUAAAUUCGAGCAACGGUCUGAGUGGAUGUAAGCUACAAACAAGCAGAAAUUAAUUUCUUUGUAGAUUAUACAACAGCAACUUGGAAAACAGACAACAGAAAAGGCACCACCCACUCCCGCUUGGAAACCAAUCAAAUGUUUAAACAUUUUUUAGCGCUAUUAUCAAUAUCCCGCCCCCUCAUCGUGCGACCUCGUGCAUCAUCAUCAUCAUCAAAGUCGUCAAUCACCAGAAUACCCAAGUCCCACCAGUGUGCCCAUCCAAGAUGAAUUUGUUUAUCGAGCAGAAACUGCCUCACUCAUUGAAGAAUUGGAGCAUAUCCUUAAUGACGAAUGUGUUCAGCCUGAAGAGGUGUCUUUGGCCACAACCUGGCAAAAGAGGCAAUCCCUAAGCCAUGAAAGAUGGCACAUUGCAAGGGAGGCCAUGGUUAAGAAUCUUUUGGCAGCUGACUAUGUUUAGGAACGCAUCUGCCAACACUGUCUUACUGCAGAGGCCAUUGUACGGUGCAGGGACUGUCUACCUAGGCAGUUUCUAUGCACCGUGUGUGAUGGAGAUGCUCAUCAGCACCGACCUCUCCAUAACAGAGACUCUAUGGCCCAUGGGUUCUUCAAGCCAUUGUGUCCAACCACUGCAGUGAAGAGACAUUCCGAGGCCAUUGAGUUCUCUGAACAGGUCCGAUAUCUUCCACUACUUUUGCCAGAGAAAAUUUGUGCCUGUUCAGAAAGUUCCUGCAGGUUGAUCAGUGGCAAGCCCAUUAUUGUAAUAAAUUUUAAUGGACGGUACAAUCUCACCCUUCCAUCACUAGAGACCUCAUGCUGCGGAAAACAUGGGCAGUGGGGCUCAGUGAUCUCCUCAAGUCUGGGUACUGGCCAGCCUCUAUACAUUUUAAGACCGUGUAUGAGGCUGGCCUUUUUAGGUCUUUUCUGGAUUUAAAACUUUUUGCUCCAGGUCUUUCACGUCAAGCGUUCCUUGGAAUGCUUGACCGGAGAACAGAGUAUAAUGGCAGGAGUGGUAAAAUAUGUGGAGACACAUUCCAGAGAGCCUUGCUGGAGUGGACCUUUGCCCAGCAUGAGGUUGAGAGGCUUUGUGGUGUACAGCCAUUUAAAUGUCCUGCUUGCAGUCCUUCCAUGCAUGCCAUCUCAGUGGAUGGUAACAGGAAGCUGUACAGGUUCCAUAAUGCACAUGGGUAUGUUUUUUUCUUUAUUUUUUUAUUGUACUACUUAACUGUCUAUAUUGUGUUUCUCUUUCCAAAUAAAAUUAAGCACAGAGAAGGGCUACUUCGAUGGGACAUUUAUAAUGAAGGAUGAAGGUGUUUCGUCCUUUGUGGGAUAUGUUCAUGAAAAGACCAAGCAUGCCACAGGUAAAGGGGUGUGUGGCUCUUCUCAAUGGACAGCAGCCAAGGAGUCUGCAAAAAAGUCGACAUCAAAGAUUGAUGAGGAAGGCCUUGAGAUUGCUAUGUGCCGACAUGGAGGACUUUUAAAAGGCCUACAUAUGUUCAGAGGGGAAAUAUUUGCUUAUUCCCUGUUCCUUCAAAACACCCUCUCAAAAGAAAAUGUGUCAUCCUUCUGCUCAGAUGUCGCCUGCAAGUACUGGCCAUACUUAAAGAGAGUGGUGGGACACUGUCCAGAGCUAAGGCCUUUAUUAAAUAUGCGCCCACUAUUAUCAGAUAUGCAUGCCAAAGCACAUGAGUGGAGUUGUGAGGUAAGAUUCUUUCUUUACAUUAAAUUCUAUUAAUGAUAUUUUUGUGGUAUGGAAAUGUACUUUUAUUUGAACAGCCAUUGUUUGUUUUUUUUGUUUGUUUUUUUUUAGAUAAAAUGGUCUGGAAGAAACCAAGAGGGAGCUGGUCUUACAAUUGGAGAAGAGGUGGAGCAAGUCAACUCCUUCUUGUCGAGAGCUGCAAUUGGCACUAAAUACAUGUCCAAACCUGGCCUCACAGAGCUAUCGGAUUUAAACAGAAAUAUCUCAAUUUGCGUUUCGAAGAUUAACGAAGGUCUUACGGGUGUGGAACAGCAUAAGGGUAAUGGCAACCUCUCAACUAAGAAGAUGGUCUUUGACCGGUUCAUGAUGCUUUUCCGACUGAAGGAGGAGGAGCAGAUCAUAGUGAUGGAGGUGAAGCAACACUGGCAAUCAUUGAAGGAAGCUGAAUGUUCCCUGAGGGAUCUCUCAGUUCAAAUACAAACUAACAACAGUGACUUUGAGCUUUCAGAGGAGAGCGCCAAUGGACUACUGUGCCUUCUCAAGAGAAAACUGUAAGACCUUCAGUUUCUGCAAAAUAAUGCUAGGAUGUUAUACCGACAAUGUGUUCUGGGACAGGCUUCGGACAGCAUUCUAUUUGAUAACAUUUCCGAUGAAGAAACUGAGGCAGUAAACUACAGCUCUGAUGAAACAGACAGUGAUGAGGACUAAACCUGAGUAUAUAGAAUAGACAGAUACUGAAGAACUAUUUUAAUAAGCUGUAUUUCUUUUUUUUUUUUUUUUUUUUUCACUGUGAGAAACAUUUUAGCAUAUUAACAGAAUCUAUUUAAUAUUUUCCCAUCCUAAUGGAAAUGAGAUUAAGGUUCAGCAUGUAGCAAGAAAGCAUGAGUUAAGUAUUACAAGCAAGGCCCAACACUGGAUAAGGAUGUGUUGUAAUAGUGCAAUGAAGUGUCACAAUAUGUAUUGGUUGUUUAAUUUGGUGUCUUUGUUUACUGUCAACACUGUAUUCUUGUUCUUGUUCUAAUUAAAUAAAUGGAAGCACAUUCCAAAUGGGCAUUUAUGAUGAUUUUUGGGGGUCUGUUCUUGUUCUGUUCUGUUAACUAUGACUGGAUGAACUUGCAACAAUUUACAUAAUGGCAAGCUGUUAAAAAGACAAUGUAAUUGUGAUUCAACACACUUUGUUGUCCAUGAUGAGAAUAAUGUUGGACACAGUUUUCAAAUAGCCUAUAUAUGAAAAGGUGGCACAAAGGUGUUUUAAAAAGUGUUCAUAGUAAAAUAUCAAAUUUCAUCCUGCCUUUCAAAUAUUUCAUAGAGGUUUGCACAAUGAACAUGAUUAAAUAUCCCUUUGUUUAUUAAAGAUAGUACUUUUUUCCAGUUUGUUAUUAAACGUUUUAAACUACACUACCCAUAAGCCUCUGUCAUUAUAUCGAAGGAACGCAAAAAUAUGGCGCUGUCAGAGGUGUAAAGUACUUAAGUAAAUGUAAUUAGUUACUGUACUUGAGUAUUUUUUUGGCUACUUUGUAGUUGUACUGAGUAUCAAAUAUAUUGGCAACUUUUACUCUCUACUUGACUACAUUUUUGAGCAAGUAAAUAUACUUUUUACUCCACUACAUUUGUGAUGAGUAAUGCAAUUACAAAUUACAUUUUUCAUGGCAGCUAACUUUUUCUGCAGCAGUUUGUUUCUGAUUUAAAGAAGCGAUAUCACCAUCUAAGGGCAUUGAAGGUACUAUAUCUUGUGCAUUUUGUCAGCAAGGCUACUUUACGUGAAUGUGAGUGCAGGUAGUUGCUGAUCGCAGGUGUUUUAUUUAUUAGAUGAGGAAAUGACUGCAGCUGGUGAUGAGGCUCAAACCAGCACAUUCAGUAGACUUUGACUAUUUAAUUUUACUUAACAUUGUUUUAUUUAUCCGCUAUAUUGACAAGACCGUUUUGAAGGAUAUUGGUUUACUUAUGGCCUUUUUGUGCACUUGAGCUUAACUGAGACUUUUAAUUUUGAGUUUGUAGACGUU